rnacentral:sRNA from 1 species
GGGGGUUGAAUUUUUGCAUGGGAAUAAAUAGAGAAAAUAUUUCAAUAUUCGUUGUCCUGAUAUUUUCGAUACUUCAUUAAGUUGAUUUUAUUAUAUCUAGUGUUGCUCAGGUGAGCGAUGUGGCCCAUGGGCCUCUUGUUAUUCAUAAAUAUUUAAGUAAUUGAUGAAUAAAUAAAAGCAUUCAUUAAUAUCAGGAUAGAAUAUAUUGUUAUAUAAACAAAAUGACUUAGAUAAUACAGGGAACUGUGCAAUAUCUCUUAGUAAAUUAGCCAGAGAAGUGGACUGACAACAUUCCUGUCAAAGGUGGAAUAACACACCUGAAAUAGGUCACUCAAGUUAACUGUAAGUUAUAUGAUUAUGAAAGAUAAAAUGAUAUAUAAACUGUAAACAUGUCAAAUUUAUAAACGAAAAAUUUGCACUUUGGGGAUAAAAAAAUAAUAUGUAAAAUAAUUCAAUUCAGUAAGUAACAACAAAAGCCCCUGCGGGAUUCCAACUCGGGAUGUACGGUUCACAAGCCAUAUACUUUAUCCACUUUGUCCACUGGAGUAAGUUGCCGUUGACGAAGUUCUAUUUAAUAAAACGAAAUGUCGUUUUGCUCAGAGGUCAGCCAUUUUGUGAUGAUGUGUUAUUCCACCUUAGGAUAAAGCUAUAACUAAUAUCAUAGCACAGAUAAUUUUGAUUAAUUGUCUCCUAGAUUAGUUGAUAUAGUUUAUUAGCCAGGGAAGUGAAAUGGAAACAUUUCUGUUUAAAAUAUAACUUAGUACUAUAGCAGAUAUAAGUUUUGACCCAUUGUCUCCUUGAUUAAGUUAACUAAACGUUUAACUUGUUUAAUUAAUUUUGUAUCCAAAUAUCCAACAAUGUUGACUUUACUAUGAAUGUGUUGACCAUUACAUCAACUUUUAACAUGGUUUUUUUUUCUUUCAUAUUGAUAUUUAUUGUUAUGACAGUUGUUGAUGAUUACUAAAUGUACCUGGUAAUUAAAAUUAAGAUAUAUAAUGAAAUUUAACAGUUGUCUGUGUUGACUUUAACUGAACACUUAUCAUGGUUUCUCGUGUUCUUACUUAUAUUCGUGUUUUUAAAAACUUUUUAUCAAUAUCAAAUAUACACAAUACUUCAUUUAAGUUACUAUAGUAUUUCAUGCAAGCUUAUAAAUCAUGAUCACAUCAUAUUAAUAAACAUGUGCAUACUCAAAUGUUUUUCAUUAAAUAUUUUUUUUCAUUUUGGAUGGAUUGUUAAAGUAAGUUAUAUACUUAUACAACAAGUUGUUAUAUGUAUGUAAUGAUUGUAUAAAGAAAUGUACACCUAUACCACUGAUAUAUGUUGAGAGAAAGAAAGAGAUGUAAUAGGUUUUAUAUAGUAUAUGUAGUAAGGAAGAACAUAAUGGUAAAUUUAUAUGUACUAGCUAAUUUAUAUUGAGGGAGAAAGGGAGCGAAUGUGUACGUUAUUUUAUUCGAUAAUUACAUCUUGUAAUAUAUCAUUUCAAGAAAAUAAAAACCUUAAUAUAUCAGGGC